GCGGAUACAGCGAUGGAUGGUGGUGUUGUAGUAGUGACCAGGGGAGCACUGGACUGCAGGCAAGGGGGAGAGUCUCUCCAGGCCACAGCUUAAGUUUCUGGCAAUGUCUGAGAAGAGAAGAUUCUCUCUCAAACUUUUGGAGGACAGGAAGUCUUUCGAAGAUGCUGGGGUGGCAAUGAAGUCGGGAAGAAUUCUGAGCUGCUCUUCCAAACUUUGGUUUCCCAUCUGCCAGCCUCAGAUCCCUGACUUCUCCAAUCAGUAUCCUCAACUCCUGUUUCAUCGAGA